UUAAGCGACUAAGCGUACACGGUGGAUGCCCUGGCAGUCAGAGGCGAUGAAGGACGUGCUAAUCUGCGAAAAGCGUCGGUAAGGUGAUAUGAACCGUUAUAACCGGCGAUGUCCGAAUGGGGAAACCCAGUGCAAUUCGUUGCACUAUCGUUAACUGAAUACAUAGGUUAACGAGGCGAACCGGGGGAACUGAAACAUCUAAGUACCCCGAGGAAAAGAAAUCAACCGAGAUUCCCCCAGUAGCGGCGAGCGAACGGGGAGCAGCCCAGAGUCUGAAUCAGCUUGUGUGUUAGUGGAACGGUCUGGAAAGUCCGACGGUACAGGGUGAUAGUCCCGUACACCAAAAUGCACAGGUUGUGAACUCGAAGAGUAGGGCGGGACACGUGGUAUCCUGUCUGAAUAUGGGGGGACCAUCCUCCAAGGCUAAAUACUCCUGACUGACCGAUAGUGAACCAGUACCGUGAGGGAAAGGCGAAAAGAACCCCGGCGAGGGGAGUGAAAAAGAACCUGAAACCGUGUACGUACAAGCAGUGGGAGCACCUUCGGGUGUGACUGCGUACCUUUUGUAUAAUGGGUCAGCGACUUAUAUUCUGUAGCAAGGUUAACCGUAUAGGGGAGCCGCAGGGAAACCGAGUCUUAACUGGGCGUUAAGUUGCAGGGUAUAGACCCGAAACCCGGUGAUCUAGCCAUGGGCAGGUUGAAGGUUGGGUAACACUAACUGGAGGACCGAACCGACUAAUGUUGAAAAAUUAGCGGAUGACUUGUGGCUGGGGGUGAAAGGCCAAUCAAACCGGGAGAUAGCUGGUUCUCCCCGAAAGCUAUUUAGGUAGCGCCUCGUGAAUUCAUCUUCGGGGGUAGAGCACUGUUUCGGCUAGGGGGUCAUCCCGACUUACCAACCCGAUGCAAACUACGAAUACCGAAGAAUGUUAUCACGGGAGACACACGGCGGGUGCUAACGUCCGUCGUGAAGAGGGAAACAACCCAGACCGCCAGCUAAGGUCCCAAAGUCAUGGUUAAGUGGGAAACGAUGUGGGAAGGCACAGACAGCCAGGAUGUUGGCUUAGAAGCAGCCAUCAUUUAAAGAAAGCGUAAUAGCUCACUGGUCGAGUCGGCCUGCGCGGAAGAUGUAACGGGGCUAAACCAUGCACCGAAGCUGCGGCAGCGACACUAUGUGUUGUUGGGUAGGGGAGCGUUCUGUAAGCCUGCGAAGGUGACCUGUGAGGGUUGCUGGAGGUAUCAGAAGUGCGAAUGCUGACAUAAGUAACGAUAAAGCGGGUGAAAAGCCCGCUCGCCGGAAGACCAAGGGUUCCUGUCCAACGUUAAUCGGGGCAGGGUGAGUCGACCCCUAAGGCGAGGCCGAAAGGCGUAGUCGAUGGGAAACAGGUUAAUAUUCCUGUACUUGGUGUUACUGCGAAGGGGGGACGGAGAAGGCUAUGUUAGCCGGGCGACGGUUGUCCCGGUUUAAGCAUGUAGGCUGGUUGUCCAGGCAAAUCCGGAUAAUCAAGGCUGAGGUGUGAUGACGAGGCACUACGGUGCUGAAGUAACAAAUGCCCUGCUUCCAGGAAAAGCCUCUAAGCAUCAGGUAACAUCAAAUCGUACCCCAAACCGACACAGGUGGUCAGGUAGAGAAUACCAAGGCGCUUGAGAGAACUCGGGUGAAGGAACUAGGCAAAAUGGUGCCGUAACUUCGGGAGAAGGCACGCUGGUGUGUAGGUGAAGUCCCUGCGGAUGGAGCUGAGACCAGUCGAAGAUACCAGCUGGCUGCAACUGUUUAUUAAAAACACAGCACUGUGCAAACACGAAAGUGGACGUAUACGGUGUGACGCCUGCCCGGUGCCGGAAGGUUAAUUGAUGGGGUUAUCCGUAAGGAGAAGCUCUUGAUCGAAGCCCCGGUAAACGGCGGCCGUAACUAUAACGGUCCUAAGGUAGCGAAAUUCCUUGUCGGGU
rnacentral:rRNA from 1 species